rnacentral:rRNA from 1 species
AUGGGUGGUUCCACUCUGUGCAGAUGGCCCCUCAGCUUGGUCUACAUGCAGGAUAUAACAACCGACAAGGAGGACUGGAGUCAAGAACAUCGUGAUAUGACAGCGCUGGUGGUUUGUGGUGACAUGCUUAUCGUUUUUAUUCCCUUCCCUUGGGAGCUCUACCGCCUCGACGUGUCGACCGAGCCCGCGACAGUGCUGCCCAUGGAGAAGCUGGAUGAUUGGGCGCUCUUUCUGGGGGCAGAACCAAACGGCAUGCCACUUUCGUGCAUGAGCCCGCCCGGAAAAAUGGGGAGGGAGGAGCAACACCUCGUACUGUGUCGGCUAUGGCUCUCAGCCUUGGACCGCUACUCCGACCCUUGGGCUAUACGCUGGUACGGCGAACAGGACCCCGUGGAGUUAGCUCUGCCACUCUGGCCGUACCCAAGCAUGUUCUACUAUGGUGCCGGAGAGUGA